rnacentral:rRNA from 1 species
UUAAGUGACUAAGCGUACACGGUGGAUGCCUUGGCAGUCAGAGGCGAUGAAAGACGUAGUAACUUGCGAUAAGCCCAGAUUAGGUAGUAACAACCAUUUGAGUCUGGGAUUUCUGAAUGGGGAAACCCACGUGCAUAAGCACGUAUCCUUACCUGAAUACAUAGGGUAAGGAGGCGAACCGGGGGAACUGAAACAUCUAAGUACCCCGAGGAAAAGAAAUCAACCGAGAUUCCGAAAGUAGCGGCGAGCGAAAUUGGACUAGCCCUUAAGCUUUACACGCGUUAGACGAACGGUCUGGAAAGUCCGACGAUACAGGGUGAUAGUCCCGUAGUUGACGACGUGUGUUCAGUGAAAUCGAGUAGGGCGGGACACGUGAUAUCCUGUCUGAAUAUGGGGGGACCAUCCUCCAAGGCUAAAUACUACUGACUGACCGAUAGUGAACCAGUACCGUGAGGGAAAGGCGAAAAGAACCCCUGUGAGGGGAGUGAAAUAGAACCUGAAACCGUGUACGUACAAGCAGUAGGAGCAGGCUUUGUCCUGUGACUGCGUACCUUUUGUAUAAUGGGUCAGCGACUUAUAUUCAGUGGCAAGGUUAACCAUCUAGGGGAGCCGUAGGGAAACCGAGUCUUAACUGGGCGUUCAGUCUCUGGAUAUAGACCCGAAACCAGGUGAUCUAGCCAUGGGCAGGUUGAAGGUUGAGUAACAUCAACUGGAGGACCGAACCGACUAAUGUUGAAAAAUUAGCGGAUGACUUGUGGCUAGGGGUGAAAGGCCAAUCAAACCUGGAGAUAGCUGGUUCUCCCCGAAAGCUAUUUAGGUAGCGCCUCGGACGAAUACUACUGGGGGUAGAGCACUGUUAAGGCUAGGGGGUCAUCCCGACUUACCAACCCUUUGCAAACUCCGAAUACCAGUAAGUACUAUCCGGGAGACACACGGCGGGUGCUAACGUCCGUCGUGGAGAGGGAAACAACCCAGACCGCCAGCUAAGGUCCCAAAUUACUACUAAGUGGGAAACGAUGUGGGAAGGCUCAGACAGCCAGGAUGUUGGCUUAGAAGCAGCCAUCAUUUAAAGAAAGCGUAAUAGCUCACUGGUCGAGUCGGCCUGCGCGGAAGAUGUAACGGGGCUAAGUAGUAAACCGAAGCUGCGGCAAUGUGCUUUUGCACAUUGGGUAGGGGAGCGUUCUGUAAGCGGUUGAAGGUGUGUGGUAACGCAUGCUGGACGUAUCAGAAGUGCGAAUGCUGACAUGAGUAACGAUAAAGGGGGUGAAAAACCUCCUCGCCGGAAGACCAAGGGUUCCUGUCCAACGUUAAUCGGGGCAGGGUAAGUCGACCCCUAAGGCGAGGCCGAAAGGCGUAGUCGAUGGGAAACGGGUUAAUAUUCCCGUACUUCUUACAAUUGCGAUGGGGGGACGGAGAAGGCUAGGUGGGCCUGGCGACGGUUGUCCAGGUUCAAGUGCGUAGGCUUGAGAGUUAGGUAAAUCCGGCUCUCUUUAAGGCUGAGACACGACGUCGAGCCACUACGGUGGUGAAGUCAUUGAUGCCAUGCUUCCAGGAAAAGCCUCUAAGCUUCAGAUUGUAAGGAAUCGUACCCCAAACCGACACAGGUGGUCGGGUAGAGAAUACCAAGGCGCUUGAGAGAACUCGGGUGAAGGAACUAGGCAAAAUGGUACCGUAACUUCGGGAGAAGGUACGCUCUCGACGGUGAAGUCCCUCGCGGAUGGAGCUAUUGAGAGUCGCAGAUACCAGGUGGCUGCAACUGUUUAUUAAAAACACAGCACUGUGCAAAAUCGUAAGAUGACGUAUACGGUGUGACGCCUGCCCGGUGCCGGAAGGUUAAUUGAUGGGGUUAGACUUCGGUCGAAGCUCUUGAUCGAAGCCCCGGUAAACGGCGGCCGUAACUAUAACGGUCCUAAGGUAGCGAAAUUCCUUGUCGGGUAAGUUCCGACCUGCACGAAUGGCGUAAUGAUGGCCACGCUGUCUCCACCCGAGACUCAGUGAAAUUGAAAUCGCUGUGAAGAUGCAGUGUACCCGCGGCUAGACGGAAAGACCCCGUGAACCUUUACUACAGCUUGGCACUGAACAUUGACCCUACAUGUGUAGGAUAGGUGGGAGGCUUUGAAGCACGUACGCCAGUAUGUGUGGAGCCGUCCUUGAAAUACCACCCUUGUAGUGUUGAUGUUCUAACGUCGACCCCUUAUCGGGGUUGCGGACAGUGCCUGGUGGGUAGUUUGACUGGGGCGGUCUCCUCCCAAAGAGUAACGGAGGAGCACGAAGGUGGGCUAAUCACGGUUGGACAUCGUGAGGUUAGUGCAAUGGCAUAAGCCCGCUUGACUGCGAGAAUGACAAUUCGAGCAGGUGCGAAAGCAGGUCAUAGUGAUCCGGUGGUUCUGAAUGGAAGGGCCAUCGCUCAACGGAUAAAAGGUACUCCGGGGAUAACAGGCUGAUACCGCCCAAGAGUUCAUAUCGACGGCGGUGUUUGGCACCUCGAUGUCGGCUCAUCACAUCCUGGGGCUGAAGUCGGUCCCAAGGGUAUGGCUGUUCGCCAUUUAAAGUGGUACGCGAGCUGGGUUUAGAACGUCGUGAGACAGUUCGGUCCCUAUCUGCCGUGGGCGUUGGAAGAUUGAAGGGGGCUGCUCCUAGUACGAGAGGACCGGAGUGGACGAACCUCUGGUGUUCGGGUUGUGUCGCCAGACGCAUUGCCCGGUAGCUAAGUUCGGAAUCGAUAACCGCUGAAAGCAUCUAAGCGGGAAGCGAGCCCUGAGAUGAGUCUUCCCUGAUACUUUAAGUAUCCUAAAGGGUUGUCGGAGACUACGACGUUGAUAGGUUAGGUGUGUAAGUGCUGUGAGGCAUUGAGCUAACUGAUACUAAUUGCCCGUGAGGCUUAACC